rnacentral:rRNA from 1 species
GGGGUGCAACACGAGGACUUCCCAGGAGGUCACCCAUCCUAGUACUACUCUCGCCCAAGCACGCUUAACUGCGGAGUUCUGAUGGGAUCCGGUGCAUUAGUGCUGGUAUGAUCGCA